rnacentral:lncRNA from 1 species
ACUUAUUAAAAAAAUUUCAUUAUUUAAAAAAAAAGGCCUCUUUUUGUGAGUUCGCCUUAGGCCUCCAAAUGUUUUGGGCCGCCCCUGACCUUUGCAAUGGUUCAACUUCUGAAUUUCCAGGUUGUUAGGCAUGUCGUAGCAGGGUAUUUAAUCAUGUUUUCGUGAUUGUCUUUUAUCUCAAUGGGCUGCACAACGGAGAGGGGAAAGGACAGUAAAGAUGCAUCCUUCAGUUGGAUCAGAGCUAAGCCAACAUAACAGACAAAAAGGCCUCUCAGCAACCAUCUUUUGUAAGAAUCUGUCAUUCAACCAUUACUCCAAGCUACCAACUUAUGCUCUGAGAUUCUUAUGACCCCUGCAGCAGAGAUUAUGCAUUCUUAGAGUUCUGAUGUUGGUACAUGGACAUCCACUUAUUGCUUUCUAGGUCUCAUGAUGAUAUGAUACCCACUUUUACAGAAUAGAACAAUUCCUGCUGCUAUGG